UUUUUGGAGAGUUUGAUCCUGGCUCAGGAUGAACGCUGGCGGCGUGCCUAAUACAUGCAAGUCGAGCGGGAGAAUCAUCCUCCGGGAUGAGGAUCCAGCGGCGAACGGGUGAGUAACACGUGGGCAACCUGCCCGCAAGACCGGGAUAACUCCGGGAAACCGGUGCUAAUACCGGAUAGGCCUUUUCCCUGCAUGGGGGAAAGGGGAAAGGCGGCUUCGGCUGU
rnacentral:rRNA from 1 species